AGACUCUAGUCUUCACGAAUACUACAGACAAUUUAUUAGUAGACAGUCUUACCUGCUUGAAGACUUUUGUUGAAUUAUAGUCACAGAUUAGGAAUUAAAAUUCAAAAUGGUUUGUUAGUUUUUGGUAUAAGUUGUUAAAUGUUAGAUAAAUAAGAAAACAAUGUCCGAGGUUGCGAAGUAUUUAUAUUAAAAACAUCAACACCAAAUGAUAAACAAUGACAAAAUUCAAAUAUUUUUUUCUUUUUAAUAUCACAUUUUAUACGUUGUAUAAGAAAAUAUUACCAAGGGUAGAAUAACUAUGAUAGUGAUGAACGGUUAUUUAGACAAAGUUGGAGCCUCCUAUAGAUAUAGUUCACGAACUAAGUUGCCUCCGCCCAAAGAAUCCAGGUUCCUCAUCACAAGAUUGGGACCCCCGAUGGAGUCGAGGGAACGAACUAAGUUGCCUCCGCCCAAAGAAUCCAGGUUCCUCUUCACAAGAUUGGGACCCCCGAUGGAGUCGAGGGAACGAACUAAGUUGCCUCCGCCCAAAGAAUCCAGGUUCCUCUUCACAAGGUUGGGACCACCGAGCUGGUCAAGGUUCUUCUUUACAAAGUUGCCGCCACCAAGGGAGUCAA
rnacentral:lncRNA from 1 species